rnacentral:rRNA from 1 species
GAUGAACGCUGGCGGCGUGCCUAAUACAUGCAAGUCGAGCGAACAGACGAGGAGCUUGCUCCUCUGACGUUAGCGGCGGACGGGUGAGUAACACGUGGAUAACCUACCUAUAAGACUGGGAUAACUUCGGGAAACCGGAGCUAAUACCGGAUAAUAUAUUGAACCGCAUGGUUCAAUAGUGAAAUACGGUUUUUCUGUCACUUAUAGAUGGAUCCGCGCCGCAUUAGCUAGUUGGUAAGGUAACGGCUUACCAAGGCAACGAUGCGUAGCCGACCUGAGAGGGUGAUCGGCCACACUGGAACUGAGACACGGUCCAGACUCCUACGGGAGGCAGCAGUAGGGAAUCUUCCGCAAUGGGCGAAAGCUUGACGGAGCAACGCCGCGUGAGUGAUGAAGGUCUUCGGAUCGUAAAACUCUGUUAUUAGGGAAGAACAAAUGUGUAAGUAACUAUGCACGUCUUGACGGUACCUAAUCAGAAAGCCACGGCUAACUACGUG